GCGCCGUGUUUAAACAAGUGUAUAGAACACAUCUGUCCGGGCCUUGGGACUCGAGGCUGUGUGACCAAUUUCAGCAUCUGAAAGUUAAAUUAAUGGUAAAGGGUUUAAUUGUGAGUAAACAAUACCACAUUAAGGAGCAGUAAACACAGCAGUGGGGACCCACCGACCCGCUCUGCCAUCACAGAUGCGGCGGCCUCCAUGUGACCGUUAAUAGUCCCCGCCGCCUGGAAGUUCUGACAGCGCCCUGAAGCCCAUUUGUCAUCUAAAUGGUCCGUCCCCUUCUUAAACAUCAUUUUGGCCCAAGGUCCAUUCAUGGGGCCUGCCGGGUGUUCCUGGGAAGAUGGGCAGAAAAUCCCAAGGCCACCAUUUAGUGCCAAUAAACAGAAGGCCUGGUUUCUUCAAAAGAAACACAAGAAAUUGUUUCCUGGUUUUGCCACAGAGAUUGGGUCACAGAGUGCCACCUAAAUGGUAUUACCAUAUUUGUGUUGUCGCCUCUUGGUUUGAAAUUUAUUCCUGGUAUGACUUGUGUCUCCCCUUGUUCCAUCUCUGACACCCAAGCCCAUGGGAUGACAACCCAGGCUGAGAUGUCCCAUGUGUCACAAAGGAGUCCUUCAGUAUUUCCAGGAAUAGUUGGAACCAGCACUCCAUCCCCUACCUGGACCUGGCACCCUCUCUACUCUUGUCAAUUCUACACUAAUCACAGGAAGAAGGUGGAAUUAGUCCAAGCUGGGUUUUCAGAAAUAACUUGUAGACAUGCAACAGAUGUUUAUAACCCUCAGAAGCGGAAGGAAACUUGGAAACCCUCUCUUUCGGUGACUUUUUUUCUAAUGAUUGUCUCUGCCAUGAAAUUCUAACUUCAAAUGAAAUCUUUGGCAGGAACCCAGGGCUGUUCUGUCAAGGUUCAGCUGCAGGACCAGAGCCCCUUCCACCUAACCCCCACUCCUAUCCUGAUGCUUCCUGAGGCACAUCUGCUGUGGUUUCUCACCAGAGAACAGUCUGCAAAAUCACUGCACCUUGUCCAACUCCAUUUUCCAACUGAGAAGACUUGGCCCAGAGAAGUGCACAGACUUGAGGGAAGUAACACAGCAAUCGGACAGACAGACAUCCCCAGAUAUACCUGCUACGGUCCUGGGAGAAAAUAGAGACCCAUCCCCAAAUACCAUCAUCCUCAUCAUUCUCUGUAGCCCAAUCAAAUGAUGCUCCAGGCCUGAGAUUUUAUCCAAUGAACACUCUGUACAUCUUUAAAAGAGAUAUGUACUUGUCUUAUUCCUCCUUUCCUUUCUUUAAAAAAAAACACAGGCCCCAGAUCCAGUCAUUCUAAAUAGGAAGGAAAAACAUAACCCACUGAGGCAAUGGAUGCUGUUUCUCUCCCUGCUCUGUGACUUUAGUUUGCCUUUAAAGCCCAUUUUCACCAUUUAUUGAUUUUAGUUUUCUACUUGUCUAUGAAUGACAACUUGAAUUAAGACAACGCAGGCUGAAAAGCCGCUAGGCAGUGCUAAAUGGACAAGCUACACUUCGUGGCAGGAUGUCUCAUGACCGUGCCACCUUCUGCCUAGCCCCAUUCUCUGGAGGAGCUGUGGGCAGACCGACCCCAGCCUGGCCGCCUGGCAUGGGGACUGGUUGCGUCAGAUCGGAGCUCUGAGAUAAGGGUGGGCCAGGGCAUGAUCAUCACCACUGCCAGCCUCGAAGCCUCUUUGCUGACCUGGAGGUGAUCUGUGUAUCAAAGGGGGCUGUGUAUUCAACAGCACUUCCAGAAGAGGCCAAAGAUCUGUCUCUACUUCAGCCUCCACUGGGCAGAAAACUAAGCCUAUUUGCUCUAGGCCCUUCAGACUUGCACUUGGAGAAAGAAAACUCACUAAGUCAGCCCUUAUGUAACUCCACUCUCCUCUCUUCCAAACCUCCUUGCUUUGGACAAAUAUUUGACAGAAAAUGCCCUUUUGCAACGCCUUAAAAGUUACAAAAAUGGUGCACCCUAUCCUUUAAUCUGUACUGUAAAUAAAAAAUAUUAACACAAA
rnacentral:lncRNA from 1 species